rnacentral:lncRNA from 7 species
UAAGAUUUCAGCAUCAACUGGAGUGUUAUGCUGAUUUUAAGUUCACAAAUAGAGUUCAUUUUGAAUGUUUUUAAUUAAAUGGUAUUGCCUUCAGAACAACAGCACACUACAGAGAUAUAUUAUUUAUAAUGAAAUGCUCUUUUGAGAAGCAGAAAGGACAGUAAGGACCACGACUCCACAAAUGGACUUAGGACUAUGACUGGGCUUGCCUGACACCAGAUCUGUGCCCUGCUCAAGUCAGAGAUCUCUGAAGGGAGGAGGCUUGCUGUGAACCAGAUUACAGGACUCCAGCACAAAUUGCUGCAGUACAGUGCAGCUCUGUCUGCCCGCUUUCACUUACUGAACAACUGCUUUCUGUCUGCCUGAUGAAACUGUUCUGGAUGGCGUGGUUUCUCUCAAAGGCUGAACUCACAGUCAGACACUUCGUGUCCAACAGGGAAUUGGGUACACUUUCAGCAGAUACGUUGUUUGAAACAAUCCCCUGAAUAAUUUUACAUAACAGGGCCUGAACUGUAUCCCCAUUGCUGAAAGCAGUAUGAUCUGCUUUGUGCCUAGGAACAAUACCCAUAAUUUUUGCAAAAGCAAGCUCUGGCUCAGCACAACUUAAAUACCAGGAGAAAGACUUUUCCUGAAAUAGCUCUUGAGUAGGAGACAACAUAGGUGGAGUUCAUCUGAUGUACCCUUGGUAUUUAAAAGUUAGCAACUGAGGACUGUCUCAGAAGUUAACAGAAAGGGGAUGAUUUUCCCAUCCCAGAUAAGGCAUUGAAGAGGAACCAGGCGACUGCCCUCUAAAGGAAGCACUCCUCCUCAUGGGCUAUAAAAGUGACUGGCGAGUAGCUCAGAUGUCACUGCCCAACUUUUCAGUGAAACUAAUUCAUGUGCCACACUGAUUUGAUCUUCCUUUGACUCUAAUGCCAACACAUGCACUCAACUGACAUUCCCUUUCCUUCUGCAAAAUCCAACCUUUCUUUAGAAGUGCUCAUCAGACACCUCUUGCCUUCAGUCAAUGGCACCGUGGCACACACCAUGUACCUACUGCUCCCUGAGUGCUUUUCCACCAGUGUGACUCCCUCUGCCAGGGCCCUGUGAGGAACCAAACUGCCCAAAAAAGGUACGUGACAGAAGAAAAUCCACAGAAACACAGCCAAGUGAUUAUUCCCCUUAUGCAUCCUAGGACUGCAGAGUUGAACUUCAGCAUGUUGGCCUGACAAGAAAAGACCUGUCUGUGUUUUUCCCGUGCAUAACCCUGUCACGGCUGAUGGGGAGUCCCAGGAAGCUAGCUGAAGUGACAGGUUUACCAUUUUGAGAAGGAAAGAAUAAAUUUUGACACAGUGUACGUGGUAUUAUUUGUCCCAUGAAAUCACCAUCAGGAAGGCCAGAACAGAAUUGUCAUCCAGGACUGGAGCUGGUGGCAUGUGUCAAGUAGGCGAGGGGGGAUGCUGAAGUCAUGACUUGGAGGACAUCUUAUCAAUAAAAAAGCAAAAAGCCAGAAGUCUCAAAGCAGCUUUCAAGCCAAAAGCCCUUCUUCAGGACCAGAGUGGAAUUAACAAGCUUCAAGUCAGAGGUAAUAUAUAAAUAAUUCAAGCUGAAAGCAGUGGAUGCUGACUCAGAAACUGCGCGAUAAGAACAUUCCCCAAUCACAGACGGAUAAAAUCACCAUUCAUAAAACCGAGAUCUCCUCAUCUUCUGCAGUUCAGUGAGGCAGGAACGACACCGCGUUCCCCUGAAUGAGGCUGAGAAGAUAAACUGAAUCUCUGCACUCCUUCACGGGUCAGCAGUCAGUGCACUUAAAUGGGGAAGUGGUUACUUGAAGAGACAACUUAAAAGGUGAAGAUGGUAUUCGUCUGCUGCCAACGCUCCUUGUUUCACAGGAGGUCACUAUAAGAGGCCCAAAUGCUUCCUUUAAGAAAGUGUACUUCAGAAAGUACAGAACCUUGGAAGCAAUUAUGACUUUUUGAAUUUGAUGUCUUCCCCACACCUUUCCAAGUCUCAUUUGCCCUUUGUGAACAUGUUAAGAAUGGUACUGCAUGAAAACACCCAAACAGAUUCUCCAAAACAAUGCACGCUUCCUCAUAAAUGCAGAGAUUAAUGCACUAUACUUCAUCCCUGUUAACUGUAGCUCACUGAGUGGAGAGCAGUAAUUAUUCAUUCAAGUUUUAUUUUACAAAGUGUAACUAACAGGAUUUUUUCCUCUUCCUUAGAAUUAUAAUUCAGAAUGUACCUGGUAGGUUUUAAACCCCAGCUACUCAGAACUCACCUCCACUGGUACAGAUUGUUAGAAACACAACAUGCAGGCUC